CAGGUGUCUAUAGGUCCUGCUAUAAUGUUGUGUUCUCUCUAGGUGUCUAUAGGUCCUGAUAUAAUGUUGUGUUCUCUCCAGGUGUCUAUAGGUCCUGAUAUAAUGUUGUGUUCUCUCCAGGUGUCUAUAGGUCCUGAUAUAAUGUUGUGUUCUCUCCAGGUUGGUCCAGGUGUCUAUAGGUCCUGAUAUAAUGUUGUGUUCUCUCCAGGUGUCUAUAGGUCCUGAUAUAAUGUUGUGUUCUCUCCAGGUGUCUAUAGGUCCUGAUAUAAUGUUGUGUUCUCU
ensembl:lncRNA